rnacentral:rRNA from 1 species
UACGGGGGGGGGCAAGCGUUGUUCGGAAUUACUGGGCGUAAAGGGCUCGUAGGUGGCCAACUAAGUCAGACGUGAAAUCCCUCGGCUUAACCGGGGAACUGCGUCUGAUACUGGAUGGCUUGAGUUUGGGAGAGGGACGCGGAAUUCCAGGUGUAGCGGUGAAAUGCGUAGAUAUCUGGAGGAACACCGGUGGCGAAGGCGGCAUCCUGGACCGGCAUUGACGCUGAGGCGCGAAAGCCAGGGGAGCAAACGGG